rnacentral:misc_RNA from 1 species
GAUGAAGAACGUAGCGAAAUGCGAUAAGUAAUGUGAAUUGCAGAAUUCAGUGAAUCAUCGAAUCUUUGAACGCACCUUGCGCUCCUUGGUAUUCCGAGGAGCAUGCCUGUUUGAGUGUCAUGAAAUUCUCAACCUUUCUGGCUUUUGCUAGUCAGGCUUGGAUUAUGGGAGCUGCUGGCUUUUGAAGUCGGCUCUUCUAAAAUGUAUUAGCAAGAUCAUUGCUGCUCAUCAUUGGUAUGAUAAUUAUCUAUAUCAUUGAGAGUCAGUUUCCUUUAUUGGAAGAUUUUGCUCCUAACUGUCUUUAGCAAGACAACAUUUGACGAUUUUGACCUCAAAUCAGGUAGGACUACCCGCUGAACUUAAGCAUAUCAAUAAGCGGAGGA